UCUCUCACAGAGAUUUCCAUAAGUGAUUCUCCAGAUCUGAUGUAUUUUCCACCGCUGGGCGUACUACUCCAACACAAUACUCCGAAAUCUUCGGGAACUAGAGAUUACCGAGUGCGAUAAUUUUCAAGGUUUUCGUGAUGAUGAAGAUGAUCUAAACAACAACAACAACACUUCUUUUCGAUCGUUGCGGUUAGAAAAGUGCCCAGUCUUGAUGUCUCUACCGAAUUUUCGAUUAUUCACUUCUAUUCGGUCAUUGCAGUUGAAAGAUUGUGCUGGUUUGACGUCUCUUCCAGAUUUAUGAUUAUGUACUUCUCUCCAGAAAUUGACUAUCUACGAAUGCGAUAAGAUGAAUAAGGAUUCAAUACCUUAUGAUCUUAAGAAGUCCCUCACUUUUCUUGAAGAACUGAGAGUUGAUUUCGUUCAAAGAGAUGAAGGGGGUCCGGAUGCGUCUUAUGAUAAAUUUGAUGGAGAAAGAGUAGAUCUGCUUGCUACAACUCAUCUAUUCCAACAUUACCAACAGGUUGAUUGGAGUUACUUCUGCAACUUUGGUUUUUGUUGCUUCAUCUGAGAGGAUAUAUGAAUGUGUGACGUCGAGAAAUUAACUAGCGACCAGGGAUGCAUGUUUUUAUUCGAGAGGUAUAUGGAGUUCUUAAAUCUUAAUUUUGCUUAUGAAGACCAACCAACUGUGAAACUCUUAAAAUUACCCAAGCAGUGGAUAUUGUAUUGGCAAGUUAUUAGGAUUGGGACAGUACUUCAUUUCAAAAAAUCCAUUAAAUGCAUUAAUUUUCUCA